GGUGGCUCAGUGGUAGAGUACUUGCCUUGCAAGCAAGAGGCCCUGGUUCGAUUCCUCAGCACCA
rnacentral:tRNA from 1 species